rnacentral:rRNA from 1 species
GAGUUUGAUUCUGGCUCAGAACGAACGCUGACGGCGCGUCUUAAGCAUGCAAGUCGAACGGUAAGAGAGGAGCUUGCUCUUCUCCUAGAGUGGCGGACUGGUGAGUAACGCGUAGGUGACCUACCCUGAAGAUGGGGAUAGCUAGUAGAAAUAUUAGAUAAUACCGAAUAAGCUCAUAGACGUGAACGGAUAUGAGGAAAGGAGCUACGGCUCCGCUUUAGGAUGGGCCUGCGUCCCAUUAGCUAAGUUGGUGAGGUAAAGGCUCACCAAGGCGACGAUGGGUAUCCGGCCUGAGAGGGUGAACGGACACAUUGGGACUGAGAUACGGCCCAAACUCCUACGGGAGGCAGCAGCUAAGAAUCUUCCGCAAUGGACGAAAGUCUGACGGAGCGACGCCGUGUGAAUGAAGAAGGCCGAAAGGUUGUAAAGUUCUUUUGCAGAUGAAGAAUAAGGGCAAGAGGGAAUGCUUGUCU